AGCUCACAGCCGAGGUACACCCUGCAGGUAACCAGGGUACACCCCGCAGCUCCUUGGGGUACAACCUGCAGUUCCUUGGGGUACAACUUGGAGCUAACUGGGGUGCAACCCGCAGCUAACAGGGGUACACCCUGACAAACAACCAGGGUACACCCCACAGCUCAUCGGGGUACACCCUACAGCAAACUGGGGUACACCCCCCAGUUAAUAGAGGUACACCCAGCAGAUAACUGGGGUACAACUCCCAGCUCAUUGGGGUACACCUUACAGAUCUUUGUGGUACAACUCGGAGCUAACUGGGAUACAACCCACAGCUCAUUGGGGUAAAUCCUUACAACCAACCAGGGUACAAUCAGCAGCUCAUCAGGGUACACCCCACAACUAACCAAGGUACACCCACAGCUCCUUGGGGUACAACCUGCAGUUUCUUGGGGUACAACUCGGAGCUAACAGGGACACAACCCACAACUAAUUGGGGUACACCCUUACAACCAACCAGGGUACACCCCACAACUAACCAAGGUACACCCACAGCUCAUCAGGGUACAACCUGCAGUUCCUUGGGGUACAACUUGGAGCUAACUGGGAUACAACCCGCAGCUAACAGGGGUACACCCUUACAACCAACCAGGGUACACCCCACAGCUCAUUGCGGUACACCCCACAGCAAACUGGGGUACACCCUGCAGCUAACUGAGGUACACCCCUAAAGCUAACUGGGGUACACCCCAUAGCUCCUUGGAGUACACCCCGCAGCUCACUGGGGUACACCUUACAGCUCUUUGUGGUACAACUUGGAGUUAACUGGGAUACAACCCACAGCUAAUUGGGGUGCAUCCUUACAACCAACCAGGGUACAACCAGCAGCUCAUUGCGGUACACCCUACAGCAAACUGGGGUACACUCCCUAGUUAAUAGAGCUACAACCCGGUCAGGGUACAACCCACAGCUCAUCAUGGUACACCCCACAACUAACCAAGGUACACCCCACAGCUCAUUGGGGUACACCUUACAGAUCCUUAUGGUACAACUUGAAGCUAACUUGGAGUACACCCUUACAACCAACCAGGGUACAACCCACAGCUCAUCAUGGUACACCCCACAACUAACCAAGGUACACCCCACAGCUCAUUGGGGUACACCUUACAGAUCCUUAUGGUACAACUUGAAGCUAACUUGGAGUACACCCUUACAACCAACCAGGGUACAAACCCCAGCUCAUCAGGGUACACCCUACAGCAAACUGGGGUACACCCUGCAGCUAACUAGGAUACAACCCACAGCUAACUGGGGUACAACCCGCAGCUCAUUGGGGUACACCCUUACAACCAACCAGGGUACACCCCACAACUCACCGUGGUACACCCCACAAGUCCCCAGGUUCCACCCCACAGCUCAUUGGGGUACACCCUUACAACCAACCAGGGUACAACCAGCAGCUCACCGUGGUACACCCCACAAGUCCCCAGGUUCCACCCCACAGCUCACCGCAGUACACCCCACAAGUCCCCAGGUUCCACCCCACAACUCACAAGCUCACGUCAUCCCGGAGCAGAGCGUGGCUGGGAGGAAAGCACAGCCUGUGCCAACAGCACCCAUGAGACAAACAGGGCCACGUGAGGAGCAAAGGACAAUGAGGGCACAAACACGGCCCUUCCCCCUCCUCCU
rnacentral:lncRNA from 1 species